rnacentral:rRNA from 1 species
CCUACGGGAGGCAGCAGUGGGGAAUCUUGCGCAAUGGGCGAAAGCCUGACGCAGCAACGCCGCGUGCGGGAAGAAGGCUUUCGGGCUGUAAACCGCUUUCAGCAGGAACGAAAAUGACGGUACCUGCAGAAGAAGGAGCGGCCAACUAUGUGCCAGCAGCCGCGGUGAUACAUAGGCUUCAAGCGUUGUCCGGAUUUAUUGGGCGUAAAGAGUUCGUAGGCGGUCGAGUAAGUCGGGUGUGAAAAUUCUGGGCUCAACCCAGAGACGCCACCCGAUACUGCUUGACUUGAGUUCGAUAGGGGAGUGGGGAAUUCCUAGUGUAGCGGUGAAAUGCGCAGAUAUUAGGAGGAACACCGGUGGCGAAGGCGCCACUCUGGAUCGAUACUGACGCUGAGGAACGAAAGCAUGGGUAGCAAACAGGAUUAGAUACCCUGGUAGUCCAUGCCGUAAACGGUGGGCACUAGGUGUGGGUUCCUAUUAACGAAAUCCGCGCCGUCGCUAACGCAUUAAGUGCCCCGCCUGGGGAGUACGGUCGCAGACUAAACUAAAGUAAGUAGACGCGNGAGACGUGCGACGACGACGACGAGGAGAGG